rnacentral:rRNA from 1 species
UACGAGUGCCCCAAGCGUUAUCCGGAAUUACUGGGCGUAAAGGGUGUGUAGGCGGCUUGGUUAGUCCUCGGUUAAAGCUCUCGGCUUAACCGGGAAAGUGCCGAGGAAACGGCCAAGCUCGAGGGUGCGAGAGGUCUCUGGAACUCAUGGUGUAGGGGUGAAAUCCGUUGAUAUCAUGGGGAACACCAAAAGCGAAGGCAGGAGACUGGCGCAUUACUGACGCUGAAACACGAAAGCGUGGGGAUCAAAC